GACGAACGCUGGCGGCGUGCCUAAUACAUGCAAGUUGAGCGCUGAAGGUUGGUACUUGUACCAACUGGAUGAGCAGCGAACGGGUGAGUAACGCGUGGGGAAUCUGCCUUUGAGCGGGGGACAACAUUUGGAAACGAAUGCUAAUACCGCAUAAAAACUUUAAACACAAGUUUUAAGUUUGAAAGAUGCAAUUGCAUCACUCAAAGAUGAUCCCGCGUUGUAUUAGCUAGUUGGUGAGGUAAAGGCUCACCAAGGCGAUGAUACAUAGCCGACCUGAGAGGGUGGACGGCCAAAUUGGGACUGAGACCCGGCCCAAACUCCUACGGGAGGCAGCAGUAGGGGAUCUUCGGCAAUGGACGAAAGUCUGACCGGGCAACGCCGCGUGAGUGAAGAAGGUUUUCGGAUCGUAAAACUCUGUUGGUAGGGAAGAACGUUGGUGGGAGUGGAAAGCUCAUCAAGUGACGGUAACUACCCAGAAAGGGACGGCUAACUACGUG
rnacentral:rRNA from 1 species